AACAGAAGAUCUAUCGUGGAUCAAUUUUAAGGUUUACGCCUUACCCUGGUUAAAACCACAUAUCUAUAUUAUGGUGUACCAUUUUUUAUCACACGCGUUUCAAUUCUGGCUCGCGGGUGCGUUUUUAUGCAUUAUUUGACUUUUAGUUCUUCGGGUCAACAGUCAAAAACGUGCUGUAGGGUUGAUAAAUUUACAACGAUGUAAAUGUAACCUGUGGUAAUAAGUUCUCGUCCAAACGGAAAAACUAAAAAAAUAAACAUUCGGAGUCCAAUCAAACGAAUUAUAUAUUAAAACGAGUUAAAGUUUUUUAAUUAAAACUGACAGAGUCGCCCAAUUAUCUAAGUUAAGAGUAACAGCGUGCAGUUAAAACAUUUUGUUAUUAUUUUGUGUUGUUGCAUCAGG